UACAGAGGGUGCAAGCGUUAAUCGGAAUUACUGGGCGUAAAGCGCACGUAGGUGGUUUGUUAAGUUGAAUGUGAAAUCCCCGGGCUCAACCUGGGAACUGCAUCCAAAACUGGCAAGCUAGAGUAGGGCAGAGGGUGGUGGAAUUUCCUGUGUAGCGGUGAAAUGCGUAGAUAUCGGAAGGAACACCAGUGGCGAAAGCGGCUCCCUGGUCCAGCACCGACGGUCCGGCACGAAAGCGUGGGGAGCAAACAGG
rnacentral:rRNA from 1 species